CCUUUCUUCCCCGUUCUCUUCCCCCUUCCCCUUCCUUGUCCCUUUGGCCCCCCGAGAUGCUCCUGCGGGACCCGCCGGCCACGCCGGUCUCCCCCUGGGAGCGCGGGCUGGUGCUCUCCUCCUGCGCCCUGUCCGUGCUGGGCUGCUGCCUCCUGCUGGGCUCCCAGGCGUGCUGGCCGGAGCUCCGGAGGCGGCCGCGCCAGCUGCUCUCUUGCCUCUCGGGGGCCGACCUGCUCUCGGCCGCCUCCUACGCCUACGGGGUGCUGAAGGACUUCGAGGGCUCGUCCUGGGACUGCGUGGCUCAGGGCGCCCUCUCCACCUUCGCCAACACCAGCGCCGCCUUCUGGACCGUGGCCGUCGCCCUGGACCUCUACUGCGCCAUCGCCCGCGGCUCCAGCGGCGCCCGCUUGCUUUGCCUCUUCCACCUGGUGAGCUGGGGGAUUCCUCUUGGCAUCACCACGGCUGCCGUGGCCUUGAAAAAAAUCGGUUACGACGCGUCGGAUGUCUCGGUUGGCUGGUGCUGGAUUGACAUCAAUGCCGAAGAUCGUCUUCUUUGGAUGUUACUGGCCGGGAAAUUGUGGGAAAUCCUCGCUUAUGUGACUUUGCCGUUUUUGUACAUCCUGAUCAAGAAACACAUCAACCGAGCGCACGCAGCCCUCUCUGAGUAUCGACCCAUUUUGUCCAGGAACCCGUCUUCCCAACCGAGAGAAGCCUCCGUAGCGGACAGGAAGCUGACCUUAAUCCCAAUUAUUUUCAUCUUCCUGCGUAUCUGGAGCACCGUACGGUUUGUGCUGACCCUUUCCGGUUCCCCUGCAGACCAAAACUGGCUCCUGGUAAUACUUCAUGGAGUUGGGAACACGUUUCAAGGAGCUGCAAAUUGCAUCCUCUUUGUCUUCUGCACCCGAGUCGUCCGGAAUAAGCUGUUUUCGUCCUUGUGCUGCUGGCGACACUCGAACCCGGAGCCUCCCCCGCCGAGUUUGGAGACCAGCUUCCAGGCAGAGGCUCCCCUUUGCAAAGACUGGGAGCUGCAAGGCAGCAAUAGCACAGGGGAGGACUUAUCCAGCCCCUGAACGUUUGCCUGCAUCGUGAUGGAAACCACCUAAUGUUGCCUGGCAGGAUUUUCACCGUAACAAAGAUGCCGAGUGCCUAUCACGGAUGAUAUUCGUUCACCUGAGGAGGAAGAGAAAAAAAAAAUAAUAAUCAUAGACUGUUGGACUUUUUAAAAGAUGCUAUGAACACGUUUUUUAAAAAAAUGUUUAAUUCAAGUUUUAAGAAUAAAAGAGGAGAACAUGUUGAGUGAAA